GAGUUAACGGAAAUGAAUGAAUUGUUGUUUAAUAGAUCCUUCCGAGGGUGAAAGGACCUAAGAGAAGUUAAUUUAUUCACGGAAAGUUAAAAAGUUUUUUAUUCAAACUUUAGAUCCUUCCAAAGAUGAAAGAACCUAAGCGAGUUCAUUAAGGGCGGGACUUACCUGGAGGCGGGUAGCUCUUGAACCUUCCAUUCUUUUUGAGGAUUGGUUUAUUGCCGGAGUAAAACAGGAAGGGAUGACUAAUGACGGCAAGAUUUUUUUGAUUCAAAUGUUUGGAGUUGAUUUACACUUUUACGAAAAGACGUAUCUGCUACGAAGGCUCAAGACGAACUGUUGCUGUGGUUUAAAGUUUGGGGGGGGGGGGGGGGGGGGGGGGGGGGGGGGUCGAUGGGUGGCUAACAGGUCGGACCGUCGCGGGGUGAUGAUUCGGCGAGAACUAACUUAACUUUUAUGCGAUUCGUGAGCCGAUGGCUCUGUCGAUCGGGCAAGGUACCAGUGUAACUGUCGCGAACUAUUUGAAAUUUCCAACACUGUUGGAACGGCUAAUUCCGAAGAAAAGACAGCCGAUUCUUGUUCAUAUUGGAUUACUAUUUCGUAGAAAUAUCAUCCCGAUGGGAAAACGAACCGGUAUGAACCUUCAAAAAAUUAUUGACGUUCAAUGACAAUAUGUUAUCAAUGAGAUGCAGAUUUUAUAAGUUAUCUUCACUCUCAAACGGAGACAUGAAUAUGGGUAAAAAAUUAAAAUGUAAUGGAAAGAAUAAAAUAUUUCCAAUUGAAACGUGUAUAACAUUACACGGGUAAACUUAAUUUUUAAAUUACUCUUAGCACUUGACAACAUUUAAACCCUAUAUUGUCAUA